UACGUAGGGGGCAAGCGUUGUCCGGAUUCAUUGGGCGUAAAGGGUGCGUAGGCGGCGCGGUAAGUCGGGUGUGAAAUUUCGAGGCUUAACUUCGAAACUGCAUUCGAUACUGCCGUGCUUGAGGACUGGAGAGGAGACUGGAAUUUACGGUGUAGAGGUAAAAUUCGUAGAUAUUGGGAGGAACACCGGUGGCGAAGGCGGCUCACUGGCCUGUAACUGACGCUGAGGCGCGAAAGCGUGGGGAGCAAACAGG
rnacentral:rRNA from 1 species